rnacentral:sRNA from 1 species
UAUCAACAAAGUUUACGCGUUGUGGUC